AGCAGCAGCAGCAGCAGCAGACCUGCCUGGCCUGGAUUUGAGUGCAGGAUUUGUCCCACUAACCACCUCCCCUCGUGGAAAGGUCCUUCCUUGCAUUGCAGUCCAGUGCCACAGCCUCUGCCUCGCCUUCCAUGCCCAUGCAGGCUGCAGGUCCAGCUCCUGACCUCUGAAAGGACUGUUCUUUCAGCAAUAAUGUUCUACAUUGUACAGAGAUCAAGAAGGAAUGACUCUGAGGACUGAACUUCAGCAGCAAGUCCAACAGCUCCCCAGAAUCCCAGAUGAGCCAUGAUUGCUACAUCUGGGAUUAUUGACCUAUUCUUGGAAAAGAAUAGGAACAGAAGAGUUAUAACACAAAUCUCGUGCCAGAGCUUCCAGUGAAGUGCCUCACUGAG